UUUGGUUAAGUUAGAAAGGGCGCACGGUGGAUGCCUUGACACUAGGAGUCGAUGAAGGACGGGACUAACGCCGAUAUGCUUCGGGGAGCUGUAAGUAAGCUUUGAUCCGAAGAUUUCCGAAUGGGGAAACCCACCAUACGUAAUGGUAUGGUAUCCUUAUCUGAAUACAUAGGGUAAGGAAGACAGACCCAGGGAACUGAAACAUCUAAGUACCUGGAGGAAGAGAAAGCAAAUGCGAUUUCCUGAGUAGCGGCGAGCGAAACGGAACAUAGCCCAAACCAAGAGGCUUGCCUCUUGGGGUUGUAGGACAUUCUAUACGGAGUUACAAAGGAACGAGGUAGACGAAGCGACCUGGAAAGGUCCGUCGUAGAGGGUAACAACCCCGUAGUCGAAACUUCGUUCUCUCUUGAAUGUAUCCUGAGUACGGCGGAACACGUGAAAUUCCGUCGGAAUCUGGGAGGACCAUCUCCCAAGGCUAAAUACUCCCUAGUGAUCGAUAGUGAACCAGUACCGUGAGGGAAAGGUGAAAAGCACCCCGGAAGGGGAGUGAAAGAGAUCCUGAAACCGUGUGCCUACAAAUAGUCAGAGCCCGUUAACGGGUGAUGGCGUGCCUUUUGUAGAAUGAACCGGCGAGUUACGAUCCCGUGCGAGGUUAAGCUGAAGAGGCGGAGCCGCAGCGAAAGCGAGUCUGAAUAGGGCGUUUAGUACGUGGUCGUAGACCCGAAACCAGGUGAUCUACCCAUGUCCAGGGUGAAGUUCAGGUAACACUGAAUGGAGGCCCGAACCCACGCACGUUGAAAAGUGCGGGGAUGAGGUGUGGGUAGCGGAGAAAUUCCAAUCGAACCUGGAGAUAGCUGGUUCUCCCCGAAAUAGCUUUAGGGCUAGCCUUAAGUGUAAGAGUCUUGGAGGUAGAGCACUGAUUGGACUAGGGGUCCUCAUCGGAUUACCGAAUUCAGUCAAACUCCGAAUGCCAAUGACUUAUCCUUAGGAGUCAGACUGCGAGUGAUAAGAUCCGUAGUCAAAAGGGAAACAGCCCAGACCGCCAGCUAAGGUCCCAAAGUGUGUAUUAAGUGGAAAAGGAUGUGGAGUUGCUUAGACAACUAGGAUGUUGGCUUAGAAGCAGCCACCAUUUAAAGAGUGCGUAAUAGCUCACUAGUCGAGUGACUCUGCGCCGAAAAUGUACCGGGGCUAAAUACACCACCGAAGCUGCGGAUUGAUACCAAUGGUAUCAGUGGUAGGGGAGCGUUCUAAGGACAGUGAAGUCAGACCGGAAGGACUGGUGGAGUGCUUAGAAGUGAGAAUGCCGGUAUGAGUAGCGAAAGACGGGUGAGAAUCCCGUCCACCGAAUGCCUAAGGUUUCCUGAGGAAGGCUCGUCCGCUCAGGGUUAGUCAGGACCUAAGCCGAGGCCGACAGGCGUAGGCGAUGGACAACAGGUUGAUAUUCCUGUACCACCUCUUUAUCGUUUGAGCAAUGGAGGGACGCAGAAGGAUAGAAGAAGCGUGCGAUUGGUUGUGCACGUCCAAGCAGUUAGGCUGAUAAGUAGGCAAAUCCGCUUAUCGUGAAGGCUGAGCUGUGAUGGGGAAGCUCCUUAUGGAGCGAAGUCUUUGAUUCCCCGCUGCCAAGAAAAGCUUCUAGCGAGAUAAAAGGUGCCUGUACCGCAAACCGACACAGGUAGGCGAGGAGAGAAUCCUAAGGUGUGCGAGAGAACUCUGGUUAAGGAACUCGGCAAAAUGACCCCGUAACUUCGGGAGAAGGGGUGCUUUCUUAACGGAAAGCCGCAGUGAAUAGGCCCAAGCGACUGUUUAGCAAAAACACAGCUCUCUGCGAAGCCGUAAGGCGAAGUAUAGGGGGUGACACCUGCCCGGUGCUGGAAGGUUAAGGAGAGGGGUUAGCGUAAGCGAAGCUCUGAACUGAAGCCCCAGUAAACGGCGGCCGUAACUAUAACGGUCCUAAGGUAGCGAAAUUCCUUGUCGGGUAAGUUCCGACCCGCACGAAAGGUGUAACGAUUUGGGCACUGUCUCAACCAGAGACUCGGUGAAAUUAUAGUACCUGUGAAGAUGCAGGUUACCCGCGACAGGACGGAAAGACCCCGUGGAGCUUUACUGUAGCCUGAUAUUGAAUUUUGGUACAGUUUGUACAGGAUAGGCGGGAGCCAUUGAAACCGGAGCGCUAGCUUCGGUGGAGGCGCUGGUGGGAUACCGCCCUGACUGUAUUGAAAUUCUAACCUACGGGUCUUAUCGACCCGGGAGACAGUGUCAGGUGGGCAGUUUGACUGGGGCGGUCGCCUCCUAAAGUGUAACGGAGGCGCCCAAAGGUUCCCUCAGAAUGGUUGGAAAUCAUUCGUAGAGUGCAAAGGCAUAAGGGAGCUUGACUGCGAGACCUACAAGUCGAGCAGGGACGAAAGUCGGGCUUAGUGAUCCGGUGGUUCCGCAUGGAAGGGCCAUCGCUCAACGGAUAAAAGCUACCCCGGGGAUAACAGGCUUAUCUCCCCCAAGAGUCCACAUCGACGGGGAGGUUUGGCACCUCGAUGUCGGCUCAUCGCAUCCUGGGGCUGUAGUCGGUCCCAAGGGUUGGGCUGUUCGCCCAUUAAAGCGGUACGCGAGCUGGGUUCAGAACGUCGUGAGACAGUUCGGUCCCUAUCCGUCGUGGGCGUAGGAAAUUUGAGAGGAGCUGUCCUUAGUACGAGAGGACCGGGAUGGACGCACCGCUGGUGUACCAGUUGUUCUGCCAAGGGCAUAGCUGGGUAGCUAUGUGCGGAAGGGAUAAGUGCUGAAAGCAUCUAAGCAUGAAGCCCCCCUCAAGAUGAGAUUUCCCAUAGCGUAAGCUAGUAAGAUCCCUGAAAGAUAAUCAGGUUGAUAGGUUCGAGGUGGAAGCAUGGUGACAUGUGGAGCUGACGAAUACUAAUAGAUCGAGGACUUAACCAUAUAA
rnacentral:rRNA from 1 species